UUAAAUAAUUGUUUAAGUUUUUUAUACUACAAAUUACUGUACAGAAUAAAAAUCCCACGAUCGAAUUUCUUGUGUUAAUUCCACAUUCUUAAGUGUGUUUUUUUUUCUUUUUUUUUGUAAUGAGAUAUACAUGAACCAUUGGAAGUGUGUAAUGAUAAUUUUCACUUCGAAGAAACCAAACUUCUUCUCUAAUAAAGCCCUAAUUAAAGGUCUACUAGGGUUUCUUUCCACUAUCCCAAGGGCCCUCUCUGCAGAGUAAAUGGCGGAUCCGCCUUCGAGUCUCGGCGGAGAAAGCGGCGGCUGGGUUAGGGAGCAGGACAAUACCUUCCAAUAGCUAAUAUAAGCAGGAUCAUGAAGAGGGUGUUGCCUCCCAGCGGAAAGCAGUAAAGAAGAUGCUAAAGACACUGCCCAGGAAUGCGUCUCUGAGUUCAUCACCAGCGAGGCGAGUGAUAAGUGCCAGAAAUAGAAGAGGAAAACUGUGAAUGGUUAGGAUUUGUUGUGGGUAGUGACAAAUAUUAGGAUUUGAGGAUUACCUUCCUGGAACCCUUGAAACUGCAUUCACUUCUUCACCUCUCCUUUUUCAAAGCUUUUAUAACUCAAAUACAUUAGUAGUUGUUGUUGGUACUCGACAUGACAGAGAACUGAUUGGGUCUUUUCAGUUGUGUUAGUUUGAACUUAGGUUAUUUAUUUCCAGUUUAGUUGGUUGUAAUCGGUUCAUGUUAGAUAUGAUAACACACUAUUUGAAAGAAGGAAGAAAGUUUUGUCAUCAAAGCUUCUUUAUGAAUUUCAAAAACUCGAAUGGUAACAGACUUUUUUCUCAUCACUUUGAUCUCCACUGUUACAAUUGUCCAUAUGCAUCAUUAUGUAUUAGAAACAAUGGUGCAUAAAUUACAUUUAAGGCAGUUGAUUUUUUUUAAAUAUACUGAAGAAUAUUAUCCAAAAUCAACCGAGUAAUUAAAAGCUUAAAUAACGGCAAAACAUUUUUUUCUCUCCUUAAAUUCUCUUAGGGAAGUCCUCUUUGCACGCCUAAACCAAAAGUGUAUCAUCCUUCAUCUUCAAUCUCCAAAUCUUGGACUCCUCCUCGUCAAGCUAAACCUGAGAAGAAACUUGUUGCGACUGAACUCUGUGGGAACAUGAUUUCAUUCUUCAUAUUCUCUUCAGGAGGGGAAAGAUCAAUGGCCUCAAAAAGUUUUACAUCUUCUUGUUUGAUUUUGAAGGGAGAAGCAAGGUAAACACGCAAAAAAAUAAUGGGUUUUGAAGAGAUCUGGAUCAAAAUCUAUCACGAAGUCAUUGUAUUCAGGAUAUACAGGUAAGAAUACGACAUCAUCAGCAUCAUCUGGUUUGAGGUUACCUUCGACUCGGUAUGCUUCGAAAGAAAAUAUGUUUAUACAAAAGUUAGCCAGUAUAUCCUGUGGUGAUGAAGGAGAAGCUAACUUAAUGUUACAGCAGGAGAAAGACGGAGAUAAAGAGAAAUACAAACCUCAAAUGCUGCAAAGAGAAGUAGAAGAUACAAGUCGAGACUUGAGAACACGAGAAAGUGAAACGUGUAAUAAUGAUAUGUUUUGGUAUUGAGUGAGUUGCAAGGAAUCGGGGGCAUUAGACUACUGAGUCAGUGUUUCUUGUAGGGGAUAUAAGUCAAAAGUUGCAGGCGGUGAUUUGUUACGAAUAUUUUAUCUAAGGAAAAUGACAAAUUUUUUGUUAUUGAA